ensembl:snRNA U6 U6 spliceosomal RNA
AUGCUGGCAUCAGCAGUACAUGUAGUAAAAUUGAAACAACGUCAAGAAGAUCAGCAUGGCCCCUGCACGAGGAUGACACACAGAUCUGUGAAGUGUUGUAUAUUUCU